GAUGAACGCUAGCUACAGGCUUAACACAUGCAAGUCGAGGGGAAACGCCAUCGUUCCCUUGCGUUUUAUGGGCGCCGACCUGCGCACGGGGGAGUAACGCCUAUCCUACCUUCCCAUCACUUUGGGUUAACCUUGCGGAAGCAAGACUAAUUCCCAGUGAUAUCUGUAGGAUACAUCUGAAAGUGGUAAACGAUUUACCGGUGAUGGAUGGUGAUGCGGCUGCUUAGCUUGUUGGCGGGGUAAUGGCCGCCUAAGGCGACGACUGGUAGGAGGCCUGAGAGGGAGGACGGCCACAUUGGGACUGAGACACGGCCCAGACUCCUACGGGAGGCAGCAGUGGGGAAUAUUGCACAAUGGGCGGAAGCCUGAUGCAGCGACGCCGGGUGGGGGAUGACGGCCUUCGGGUUGUAAACUCCUUUCGACCGCGAGGAAGACGCGUGGUUGGAAGGGUGUUGACGGUAGUGGUAGAAGAAGCACCGGCUAACUACGUG
rnacentral:rRNA from 1 species